rnacentral:misc_RNA from 1 species
AUUCAAGCAGAUCUCUGAGGCUUACGAGGCAUGUUUUUCUUUUCCCCUAAUUUUACUUCCUCUACCAGGUUCUCAAUUCUUUAUCUUUUUUAUUUUUUUCAAUCUUUUCUUCCAUUAUCUGGAAUGUAAAUUUAAGAUUUCAUUCUCCUGGUUGGCUGGCUGAGAAAUGGGGAAGAAUCAUAUCUAUAUAAUAUAUGUAUUUUGGGCGUUGUGCAAUAUCCAUUUCUUGUUCUUCUCUGUAGUUCUUAUUGGAAAUACACUAAAAAAUAAAAGAAUUGAUAUGGAAAAAGUCAGUGAUUCUAUGCUUUUGGAAAAUUUAACAUAAUGGGGAGAAUUAACCUCUUUUAUCCUCCGUUUCAUUGUUGACCAAGUGAAGAUUAAAAGCAUUGCUUUUGUUAAUGCGAAUUUACACUGAAUUCCCUCUUCAGUGAUUAUGCAAUGUUUGUUUGAGAUAUGAAAGGCAGUUAAUUUUCAUAUAUUUAUAUUGCCUGGUGUCCUGAUGCAUUUUUAAUUCAGGUCCUAAGUGACCCGCAAAAGAGAGCAAUUUAUGAUCAGUAUGGUGAAGAAGGCCUGAAAGACAUGCCACCCCCUGGCAGUGGUGGAUUCCCAUUUGGAAAUGGUAGUGGCACUGGGUCGAGUGGUUUCAAUCCUAGAAAUGCAGAAGAUAUAUUUGCAGAAUUCUUUGGCAGCAGUCCUUUUGGAUUUGGAUCAUCAGGACCUGGAAGGUCCAUGAGGUUCCAGCCAGAUGGAGGAAUGUUUGGGGGAUUUGGUGGGAGUGAAAAUCUAUUUCGGACUUACAGUGAGGGGACUGUGCCAAGGAAGCCACCACCAGUAGAGAGUAAAUUGCCUUGCAGUCUUGAGGAACUAUACUCUGGAUCAACAAGGAAAAUGAAGAUUUCUAGAACUGUAGUUGAUGGCCAUGGGCGGCAAGUGCAAGAAACAGAGAUUCUAACCAUUGAUGUGAAGCCAGGGUGGAAAAAGGGAACAAAGAUUACUUUCCCA